rnacentral:rRNA from 1 species
UACGUAGGGGGCAAGCGUUGUCCGGAUUUAUUGGGCGUAAAGAGCGUGUAGGCGGCUUGGCAAGUCCGCUGUGAAAACUCGAGGCUCAACCUCGAGCUGUCGGUGGAAACUGCCUGGCUAGAGUCCGGAAGAGGCGAGUGGAAUUCCUGGUGUAGCGGUGGAAUGCGCAGAUAUCAGGAGGAACACCAAUAGCGAAGGCAGCUCGCUGGGACGGUACUGACGCUAAGGCGCGAUAGCGUGGGGAGCGAACAGG